rnacentral:rRNA from 1 species
UACGUAGGGUGCGAGCGUUGUCCGGAAUUAUUGGGCGUAAAGAGCUCGUAGGCGGUGUGUCACGUCGUUCGUGAAAACCUGCAGCUUAACUGUGGGCGUGCGGUCGAUACUGCCGUGACUAGAGUUCGGUAGGGGAGUGUGGAAUUCCUGGUGGAGCGGUGAAAUGCGCAGAUAUCAGGAGGAACACCCGUAGCGAAGGCGGCACUCUGGGCCGAUACUGACACUGAGGAGCGAAAGCGUGGGGAGCGAACAGG